rnacentral:rRNA from 1 species
UACGUAGGUGGCAAGCGUUGUCCAGAUUUACUGGGCGUAAAGAGCGCGCAGGCGGUCGUUCAAGUCGCGUGUGAAAGCCCCCGGCUCAACUGGGGAGGGUCACGCGAUACUGAUCGACUCGAAGGCAGGAGAGGGUAGUGGAAUUCCCGGUGUAGUGGUGAAAUGCGUAGAUAUCGGGAGGAACACCAGUGGCGAAGGCGACUACCUGGCCUGUUCUUGACGCUGAGGCGCGAAAGCUAGGGGAGCAAACGGG